rfam:Cicer arietinum chromosome Ca6, whole genome shotgun sequence.
GGAAGUGAUGAUAGUAAUUGUCGCCCCAGUCUUAAUUUGCACUAUAAGGUGUAAGAUGGUGACUGACACUUAAUCUGAUCC